rnacentral:lncRNA from 1 species
UCCUGUCAUGGCUCAGCAGAAACAAAUCUGGCUAGCAUCCAUGAGGACACAGGUUCAAUUCCUGGCCUUGCUCAGUGGGUUAAGAAUCCAUGCUGCCAUGAGCUGUGGCACAGGAUGCAGAUGAGGGUCAGAUCUGGCGCUGCUGUGGCUAUGGUGUGGGCCAGCAGCUGUAGCUCCAAUUCAACUCCUAGUCUGGGAACCUUCAUAGGCCGAGGGUGUUGCCCUAAAGAGACAAACAAAAAAGACUAUUAAGCAGAGUUCCCUGUGCCACAGAGUAGGUCCUUACUGGUUAUUUAUAAUCUUUUUCCUAAUUUUUUUUUCUUUUUAGGGCUGCAUGCACGGCAUAUGGAGGUUCCCAGGCUAGGGGUCUAAUCAGAGCUAUACCUGCCGGCCUACACUGCAGCCACACCAGAUCCGAGCUGCAUCUGUGACCUACACCACAGCUCACGGCAACGCCAGAUCCUUAACCCACUGAGAGGAUUACUUGACAAGAGACCCAACUGCUUCUUGAGACAUUCUACUUAGACAAUAAAAUUAUGUCACAGGCUUAAGUAUGGCUAAUUAUACUUUUAUGUAUUAUAGUCUAGGAACCUUAAAGAUAGAAAUCAUACCUAUACCCUGCCAUAAUUCAAGGGAUAUUUUGAUAUUUUAGGUAGUCAGUAAUACUCAUUUAAGAAGAGCAUGUAUCUAGUUUAUCCCUGAGGAUCGAGGGUAUUUUUGGAAAGAGGCGCAAACACAACUGCUGAUGUCCCCAUGCUGACUAUCUGGCUGGUGCACCAACAUGCCCACCAAGUGUGAUGAACAGAGUUCCCCCAGACUCAGAGGGACUGCAGCCUUGAAGCUCGGAGGCCACAAUGCACCUGGGCACAGCAGCAUGGCAUGUACUGCUGGUUAUCUGCCCUCCUCCUUGCUGGCAGACCCAACUUCAGUCUCUCAUGGGACACAAGAAGGUUAAUCCUCAAAUGACAAAUGACGACAGAUGUCAGCCAACCAGCGUGUCCCACUGCUCUUGGCCAUGGCGGAUCCAGGCACACGUGUGGGGCCCAGUCCUGGCUGGUGAGACCCAAAGAUGGAAGUGCUGGAGCAUUUCUGAGAACAGUUCUCCUGGUAGCGAUGUGGAACCUGCAAGAACACAGGAUCCUCCUCUUUCUCCCACUGUCCUUGAGCCUUCUUGCAAGCACGAGGACUCAAAUCCCUUCCCCAGCUCUGAUCUGCCUUUGUCUUUCUCCAUCUCUAUUGUCUCUUUCCUGCUCAAUUUUGGUUCUACUUCUAGAAGUCUCUCCGUCAUGAGGGAUCCUAUCUGGGAGUGCUGGAAUUUUCCUGUGAUCAGAUUUGUCAUCCCCUCAGGCCUCCCUUCUGCUCCUUCCAUGAAGCUGAUGUCAUGCAGGUCAUGUAGCCCCUCGGCCCCCCAGGCGCUUGAUUAAACCCACUUAUAUUCUGGAUUCACAGGCCUAGUCUGUUACCUUUCAUGUGGUAAAUGCUGUCCAUGGUUUCAGCUUAGGGAUCUAGUAGACUUAUUUUUAUUUUUUCGAAUUGUGGUAAACACACAACAUAAAA